rnacentral:lncRNA from 1 species
CAACAGCUCUGAGGCUAGACAGAAAGAUGCUGCCGGUGGCUGGUUAGGCUACAAAUAGAACAGCCUAGAGUGACCGCUCUCAUCCCCAGCUAAGAACCAGCAGUUGGGGAGGAGUCCAUACUGGUGGCUCAGUCUCACCACAAUACUUCCACCCUGAAGAUCACCCACAGAAGCCCAGAGGGGGCUCAGGACAAGCCAGGGAUUCAUCGUUCUCUUCCCCUAACAUUCUCUUCACAAACUCUCUCCACAGAUGUGGAGAGGCCAGCAUAGCCUUCCUGAUGCAUGCUAAUUACCUCACUCUCUGGGUCACCUGGCAAAGUUGUCUGUCAUCUACUCGGUCUUGCCCAGGGCAGUGACCUCAUUGUUGACCCUGAUACAAGUGAGCAUCAGAACUGCUGGCCCUGUGAACUGAACCCCACCUCAUCACGGAAAGCCUCACACAGUAGUGCAGCCACCAGCUCCACACAGAGGGCAACCAGACCCCUGGAGUGACCACCCUGGGGGCUAGGAUCUGUUGACAUAGCCAGACAUCAGCUUUCAGCUACCCAGAGGAAAGGGGAAGGUAACAGGAAGAAGGAGCUGGGGAGAGAGCUGGUGCCAGUUUAGGACCCCUUUGGAGAGCCUUCGUGGGGACAGAGAUGGGGGCUAGGGUCCUGCUGCCACCUGGUGGUUGUACCAGGCAAAGCACCAUUAUUGUCUUCCUGUGUGAAUCGGUUUCUUUGUAACCCAAUCCUGGUUCUGAAGUUUAAUUCCAGGGGCAGUUAUCUUUGUGAACCCCAGUUUCUUUUCUGAUAAUGAAAAUAGACCCCGGAGGCACUGGGAGUGUAAGAGUUGAGUUUGAGAGACGGCUCCGCAUGUUAAGGCGCUCGCUGAGGCAGCAUGAAGGCCCGAGCUUCCAACCCUGUGAAAGCCAGGUAUGAUCCAACAGCCAUGGGGUGGUGUGGGAGUAGAGGCAUGGGGACUCACUGGUCGUUCUAGUAUACUUUCUAUUGCUGAGAAAAAGACCAUGAUCCUUUAAUCCCAGCAUUCAGGAGGCAGAGGCAGGUGGAUCUCUGUGAAUUUGAGAUCAGCCUGGUCUACAGAGCUAGUUCCAGGACAGGCUCCAAAGCUACACAGAGAAAUCCUGUCUCAAACCCUGCCCCACCCCUACACCUCAAAAAAAGG